GACAGAGGUGCCGAGCGUUAGGCGGAAUCACUGGGCUUAAAGCGUGUGUAGGCGGAGUUCUAAGUACCUUGUGAAAUCCCACGGCUCAACCGUGGAACUGCUUGGUAUACUGGUUCUCUUGGGUCAUCUAGGGGCGAGCGGAACAAACGGUGGAGCGGUGAAAUGCGUAGAUAUCGUUUGGAACGCCAAUGGUGAAAACAGCUCGCUGGGGAUGUACCGACGCUGAGACACGAAAGCCAGGGGGAGCGAACGGG
rnacentral:rRNA from 1 species